GAUGAACGCUGGCGGCGUGCCUAAUACAUGCAAGUCGAGCGAACGGACGAGAAGCUUGCUUUUCUGAUGUUAGCGGCGGACGGGUGAGUAACACGUGGAUAACCUACCUAUAAGACUGGGAUAAUUUCGGGAAACCGGCGCUAAUACCGGAUAAUAUUUUGAACCGCAUGGUUCAAAAGUGAAAGACGGUCUUGCUGUCACUUAUAGAUGGAUCCGCGCUGCAUUAGCUAGUUGGUAAGGUAACGGCUUACCAAGGCAACGAUGCAUAGCCGACGUGAGAGAGUGAUCGGCGACACUGGAGCUGAGACGCGGUCCAGGGUCCUACGGGAGGCAGCAGUAGGGAAUCUUCCGCAGUAGGCGAAAGCCUGACGGAGCAGCGCCACGUGAGUGAUGAAAGUCUUCGGAGCGGAAAACUCUGUUAUUAGGGAAGAACAUAUGUGUAAGUAACUGUGCACAGCGUGACGGUACCUAGUCAGAAAGCCACGGCUAACUACGUG
rnacentral:rRNA from 1 species